CCAAUAGCGUAUAUUAAAGUUGUUGCAGUUAAAAAGCUCGUAGUUGAAUUUCGGGAUUCGUCGGUUGGUCGGGCUUCACUGUCCGCACUGACCUGACGGGUUCCUACCUUCUGAAUAACCAGCAUGCUAUUAAGUUAGUGCGUUGGGGAAGCAGAGCUAUUACCUUGAAAAAAUUAGAGUGCUUAAAGCAGGCUUGUGCUUGAAUAGAUUAGCAUGGAAUAAUAAAAUAGGACGGCAUGGUUCUAUUUUGUUGGUUUCUAGGAUCACCGUAAUGAUUAAUAGGGAUAGUUGGGGGCAUUAGUAUUCAAUGGUCAGAGGUGAAAUUCUUGGAUUUAUUGAAGACUAACUUCUGCGAAAGCAUUUGCCAAGGAUGUUUUCAUUAAUCAAGAACGAAAGUUAGGGGAUCGAAGACGAUCAGAUACCGUCGUAGUCUUAACCAUAAACUAUGCCGACUAGGGCUCGGACGAUGUUAAUUUUUUAAUGACUCGUUCGGCGCCUUACG
rnacentral:rRNA from 1 species